rnacentral:tRNA from 10 species
AAAAUUUUACAAGGUUUUCACUUAGUUUUGCUAAAAUGUCCAUCUCUUCAUCUUGUUUCAAUUGUGAGUCAAUUGUGUGGCAUGGGUACAAUUAUGCUCUCUUCAUAUGCAGAAUUAAUGUCAUUUUUUUUACUAUAGAUAUUUUCCAUUUUUCACCUGAGACCACAGGCCAAUUUCAAAAAGAAUAUUUACUUCUAAUUAUGUAGCUUCUAUUACAUAGCUAGUAUUGUCUUUGUUUACUUCAUGUAUAUGCCAAAAAGACCUCAUGACUUAUGAAACGUUCAACUGUUUACUUAAAUUGGCCCAAUAAAUUUAAUAAACUCAAUUAUGUCAAUUUUAUAAAGUAAAAUGAACAGUAACUAAACAAAAACUGGAUUCAAUAGCAUUCUCUAAUUGAAACAAAAUAUAAAAUACACUAAAUAACAUACAAUACACGCACUGUGAAAUUACUCACGUGAAAAUUAUUUUGUGAACACCAUUAAAUUUUAUCAAAGUCACUUUCAUAAUCUCUGAGGUGAUUAUACAAAGAAUGUUUUAUGAAAAGAAAAUUAUGUCUAUGGUGAGCAACAGGCAAACAGACAAACAACAAAAAAAGAAUUUGCACAAGAUGAUUCUAAGCCAGGAGCAAUAACAUUUUAGAUAAAUGAAUUUAAUACACAGCAGAGAAAAUAGAUUUGCUUUCAAAAUCUCUGAAGUUUCUGGUUUGCUGGUAAGUGAUCAACACUUGUAAAAUUAUCUGUUCAUUCUAAUAUUUUUCUUUUCUUCUCAAAGUAGGUACACAACCAUAAACAAAUAUGAUUACUUUCUCUAUAAAUCUGUUACACCUGAAGUUUAUUUUACAGUGAUAUAUCUAUAUAUUUAAAUCCAUGUAAACCAAAACUAAAGGUCUGUAUGUGUUUAGCAGACCAGAGAAGUCAUAUGUUCAACAGAAAAAAGUAGGAUAAAAUUUUAUAAAUAGUUGUUCAGAAUUCAGAAACAUAUAGCUCCAAUUAUACUCAUAAUCUUCAUUACAACCAUCAUAAUAAUCUGUAGUUACAAGUAAACAAAAAUGUAAGUUGUAGAAACCAUAUUCUCUAAAUUAUUUUAAGUUAAAGACCACUGACAAAGGGAUCACUAGAGAUGUUAGUCCACUGUCACCCAAUAGUAUAUUGUUACCUACAACCUUGGGUAAGAUGGGAUAAGUUAACAUCAGUGGCAAGAUACACAUUCAAUGUAAAAUAGCCUUAACACAAUAACAAUAAUUUUGGUUUAUUAAAACAAAUUAAGUUCACACAUUGUCAUUAAAAAGGCAUUUUGAAAUUCACUGUAUUUUAAUUACCUUAAUUUGCAAAUGGUAAGGCAAUUUCCUUCUAAAAUUCAAAUUGUUUCUCUUACUAAGCAGAUUAUUAUCCUGAUCACUUACCACACUCCUAUCAUCCUGUCACUUACGAUACUGCUGUAAACUAAUAAGUGGCCUUUCCACUUAGAAUUUCUUCGUGUGUCUUAGGUUUCAGUUUACUUAAUCCUCCAUGGAAAAGUAUAUAAAUCUGUCCAUCUAAUAUAGAAGAACCUCUCACAACUCUGGUGCAACCACUGACCAUGUUCUUUCACAUAAAUUCUAGAAAUGAAGACACAGCAUCAAAUGUAAGAGUUAAAUUAUAUUGAAAUUUGCUUUUGAAAAAUAUUGAAUCCUUUUAAUAUAAAAAAGUAGGUUCCCUUUAGAGAAAAGUGAUCGAGAUUGCUGACUAGAAGCAGCUAGACUGUGCAGUUCUCAUAGACAGGAAUGCAAGGUAUACAUAAAUACAGCACCUGCAACUGAAACAUCCAGGUACUUGCAUUGGGAAUAAUCAAAGAAACAAUCUAUGGAGAAUGGAGUAAAGCAAGGCAGGACAAUGGGCCACCUGGGAACAACAUGGAGCCAAGGGAACCUCCCCACCCAGUAAAGCAGUGAGUGCAUGUGUGACCCUAGAAACCCAUGAUUCUCCCACAGAUCUCUGCAACCUUCAGGUGAGGAGAUACCCUCAUGAACCCACUUCACCAAGGCCUUCAGUUUAACACACAGAGCUACAUGGAGUCUCAGCAGAUAAGCCACUUAGGCCUGCGCAGAUUCAAGAGCCUUAGAUACUGGCUUUCCAGGCUUCCCAGAAAAAGUAGCUGCAACUCGAGCAAAGCAGGUUACACCCCUGAACAUACCCAUAGGAAAGAGGCAGAAUCCAGGGGGCUGAUAGUGAUGGUCUGUAGGACCCACUUCAACAAUGCCUCACGUGGUAAGACCUACUGGCUUAGAUUCCAGCCAACCAUUGGUAGCAGCACUGCACCUCCCUGGGAUGGAGCUACCAGAAAGAGGAGUGGGCCACCAUCUUUGCUGCUUGAGCAACUUAGCCAUUCCAGCCUUCAGGCUUUGAAGAGCCCAAGCUGACCGGGGGGCGGAAAGGAUCUCCUAGCACAGUACAGGUGCUCUAAAAAGACAUGGCCAGACUGCCUGUUAAAGCAGGUCCCCCGUUUCAUUCCUUCUCACUGGAAAGUACUUCCCAAUGAGGGUCUCCAGCUACCACCACCAGUGCUUUUGGGCUGGCAACAGGUCUAUACCUCCCUGGGAUGGCGCUCCCAGAGAAAAGGGCAUGCUGCCAUUGUUGCUGUUUUGCAGCAUUCAGUGGUGAUAACUUCCAGUACUGGAAAAUCUGAGGUGACUAGAAACUGUAGUGGACACCCAGCAUACUGCAGCAGCCCUUCAGAAGUGGUCGGACUGUUACGUGAGUGCCUGUUCUCAUAUAUUCUCACGAGGCAGGUUCUCCAGGCCCGGGCCACUAGCCAAUCAUUGCCAGAGCUAUUGAGCCAGUAGCAGCUUAGCAACUCCCUGGACAGAGCCUCCAGGGGCCUCUGCAGUACAACUGUCCUUGCUACCCUCAGACUAAUAAAAAAUCCCAAACCCUAAGUGCCUUAUUCACACCUCAAACUGCAGUUUACCCAAGGAGAGGAAGCCAGCCCAUCCUCCAUGGGUCCCACAAACUACCCACUGCUCCUCAGCAGACAGUAAACCCCUAACUUGGCCAAAAGUAAAGAUCUUCCAUCCUGGGCUGGCUGCACUGAGUAAUUGCUGACCUACAUCUCUCUGAGAUGCAGCCCCCAGAAGACAAGCAAAGAGAUAAUGCAGCAAGCCAGCUCAUGUGGUGGCCAGAGGGUUUGGUGCAAGAGCAUCUGUAGUAAAGUGUGGCCAGUGAUGGCCAUUUCUCUAGGCUCAACUGUCUCCCAUAAGAGACUUUAGCCCUACGGGAACUGUUGGGCCUAAUUUCUGCAGGAUGGUCUUGCAAAUCAGAAGAAGCUGGUCCAACUGAGCACUCCUUGGUCUGCUGGCCUCUCCCAGGGACCCAGUCUGGCCACAGCUGCUUACAGGGCAGUCUCAGGUACCCUGGAAGCUCAUACCAGAGCAUCUGCACUGGAGGGACAUGCCUGACUCAUGAAGAGCUCCAGCAAAGCAGCCCCUAUGACUGCACCAGCCCACAUUUCUUCCCCAUACUGCAGCUUCCCGUGACACCAUGGCAACUCCUGAUAUUUCUUUGCUGGCACAUGUCUGCAAAGGCAGGUUUGGCUUUGCUUGCCCCACCAGCAAAUGGGAAUGCAAUAUGCCCCGCCACCCCCAGCAACUGCCAUUGUAGAUGAAACUUUGGUGGGCAGAGAGCCAGAAAACUCCACCCCUGCCUUUGUGCUAACACUGUGCAGAGAACAGGGUAACCUCCCACACUCUGAACAAUCACUCUUUCUUGGGGGGCACAGAGAAGGCAUCAAAACCUUUACUGGCCAGUAUCCUGCCCCAAGCCAACACCACCUUUAGUGCAACAGCACACAGCCUCCAGCAGGUAUCCCCCACUCCCUUCCCAGCUGCUUUGCUCCUGCCACUGAGGUGAGUACCCAAAGACAGGCAGAAAUCCCAUAUCCACUAGCACUCUGCUCCAGCUAUGGCACCUUCAUCCCACAAACUCGCAAACUCCAAAUCUCAAGGAGCCAGAGAACACAGUUGGGGCUCAAAACAAGUCCCCCGGAGUUAGAGUAUGCAGCCUCUGAGUUGUGAGCUGAGCAUUGCCCACCCACCACCACCACCAAACAAAACAAAACAAAACAAAACAAAACAAAAAAAACCUCCCAGGAACAAAGCCUGUUGGCUGCAUCCAUCUUAUACCACAAUCAAAUACUCAAGACCAUCAAAUAGGAUUAAAAAAAAAAAAGCCCAAAGGUCAGCAACCUCAAAGAUAUGCCCACAAAGAUAAGACACAAUCAGUGCAAAGAUAAAAACACAAAAAGCCAGAGUGACUUCUUUCAUCCAAAUGACCAAAUUACAUUUCCAGCAAGGCCUAAGAUGACAGAAGUAGAAUUCAGAAUAUGGGUAGAAACAAACUUCACUGAGUUACAAAAGUAAUUUGCAACCCAAUGCAAGGGAGGAAAAAAAAUUGCAGGAACUGACGGAAAAAACAGCCAGUCUGGAGAAAAAAUGUGGCCAACCUGAUAGAACUGAAAAACACAAUACAAAACCUUUAUAAUGUAAUCACAUAUAUUAACAGCAGAAUAGGCCAAGCAGAGGAAAGAAUCUCAGGGCCUCAAGACUGGCUUUCUGAAAUCAGACAGACAAGAACAGUGAAAAAAGAAUAAAGAGGAAUGAACAAAACCUCUAAGAAAUAUGGGAUUAUGUAAAGAAACCAAAUCUAUGAUGCAAGAGAUUGCCUGAAAGUGAUGGGGAGAAUGAAAACAACUUGAAAUACGUAUUUCAGGAUAACAUCCAUGAGAACUUCCCCAACCUAGAGAGGCCAACAUUCAAAUGCAGGAAAUGUGGAGAACCCCAGUAAGAUACCCCAGGAGAAGGUCAUCCUCAAGACACAUAAUCAUGAGAUUCUCCAGGGUCAAAAUGAAAGAAAAAAUAUGUUAAAGGCAGCUAGAGAGAAAGGCCAGGUCACCUCUAAAAAGAAGCUCAUCAGGAAAACAACAAAUCUUUCAGCUGAAAUCCUACAAGUCAAAAGAGAUUAUAGGGGCCAAUAUUCAACAUUCUUAAAAAAAGAAUUCCAACACAGAAUUUCAUAUCUGACCAAGGUAAGCUUCAGAAGUAAAAAAUAUAUAUGAUCCUAUUCAGACAAGCAAAUGCUGAGAAAAUGUUACCACAGGAUCUGUCUUAAAAGAGCUUCUGAAGAAAGCAUUAAAUAAGAAAAAGACUAUUACCAGUCACUACAAAAGCACACUAAAGUAUACAAACUGUGGACACUAUAAAGCAACCACAGAAACAAAUGUGCAAAAUAGCCAGCUAAGAUCCUAAUAACAGAAUCCAAUCCACACAUAUGAAUACUAACCUUAAAUGUAAA